AUUGCUUCUUGGCCUUUUGGCUAAGAUCAAGUGUAGUAUCUGUUCUUAUCAGUUUAAACUGCAUGAGGGAAGAGCAUUUUCCUAAGUAAUACCCUUCUGAGGGAAUGCUCUACAGAAAAGGGCAUAAUCUACAUUUAAAAAAAUUCUUCCAUGGCUUUAAAAAAUAUUUUAUCAUUGUUCAAUUACAGCUGUUCCCUUU